rnacentral:rRNA from 1 species
GCAGUCGAACGGGGAACUUUUUUAGCUUGCUUUAAAAGUUCCUAGUGGCGAACGGGUGAGUAACACGUGAGUUACCUGCCCUGAAGCGGGGGAUAGCCCGGGGAAACUCGGAUUAAUACCCUAUGUGAUCGCAAGAUUAAAGGCGGCUAUUUAUUUAGCUGUCGCUUCAGGAUGGGCUCGCGGCCUAUCAGCUAGUUGGCGGGGUAAAGGCCCACCAAGGCGAUGACGGGUAGCUGGUCUGAGAGGACGACCAGUCACACUGGAACUGAGACACGGUCCAGACACCUACGGGUGGCAGCAGUCGAGAAUCAUUCGCAAUGGACGAAAGUCUGACGGUGCGACGCCGCGUGGAGGAUGAAGGCCCUAGGGUCGUAAACUCCUGUCAUCAGGGAGUAAAAACUUACGUAGUAACUGACGUAGGUCUUGAUAGUACCUGAAGAGGAAGGGACGGCAAACUUCGUGCCAGCAGCCGCGGUAAUACGAAGGUCCCAAGCGUUGUUCGGAUUUACUGGGCGUAAAGAGUCUGUAGGCGGUAUGGUAAGUCAGAUGUGAAAUCCCGGGGCUCAACCCCGGAACUGCAUCCGAUACUGCCAUACUAGAGUAUUGGAGGGGAGUCUGGAAUUCUCGGUGUAGCAGUGAAAUGCGUAGAUAUCGAGAGGAACACUAGUGGCGAAGGCGAGACUCUGGACAAUAACUGACGCUGAGAGACGAAGGCCAGGGUAGCGAAAAGGAUUAGAUACCCUUGUAGUCCUGGCAGUAAACGGUGCACGCUUGGUGUGGGAAGGUUCGACCCUUUCCGUGCCGGAGCUAACGCGUUAAGCGUGCCGCCUGGGGAGUACGGUCGCAAGAUUAAAACUCAAAGAAAUUGACGGGGACCCGCACAAGCGG